AGUAACGCGUGGGUAACCGUGCCUCAUACAGGGGGGUAACAGUUAGAAAUGACUGCUAAUACCGCAUAAGCGCACAGUGCUGCAUGGCACAGUGUGAAAAACUCCGGUGGUAUGAGAUGGACCCGCGUCUGAUUAGCUAGUUGGUGGGGUAACGGCCUACCAAGGCGACGAUCAGUAGCCGGCCUGAGAGGGUGACGGCCACAUUGGGACUGAGACACGGCCCAA
rnacentral:rRNA from 1 species